rnacentral:rRNA from 1 species
GGGCCCGCACAAGCGGUGGAGUAUGUGGUUUAAUUCGAUGCAACGCGAAGAACCUUACCAGGGUUUGACAUCCUGCGAAUCUCUUGGAAACAGGAGAGUGCCUUCGGGAACGCAGUGACAGGUGGUGCAUGGCUGUCGUCAGCUCGUGUCGUGAGAUGUUGGGUUAAGUCCCGCAACGAGCGCAACCCACGUCUUUAGUUGCCAGCAGUUCGGCUGGGCACUCUAGAGAGACUGCCGGUGAUAAACCGGAGGAAGGUGUGGAUGACGUCAAGUCAUCAUGCCCCUUACAUCCUGGGCUACACACGUACUACAAUGCUACGGACAAAGGGCUGCAAGUUCGCGAGGACAAGCAAAUCCCAUAAACCGUGGCUCAGUUCAGAUCGUAGGCUGCAACUCGCCUACGUGAAGGCGGAAUC